CCGCUUUGGGCGGCGCUGCUGGUGUCCGCCGCGGCGUCCCGCGUGGAAGAUGGCUGCCGCCGGAGACCUUGGCGGUCCUGAAAGCUACCGUUCCCCGCUGGCGUCCCGCUACGCCAGCCCCGAGAUGUGCUUCCUGUUCAGCGACAGGUACAAGUUCCAGACGUGGCGGCAGCUGUGGCUGUGGCUGGCGGAAGCUGAGCAGACCCUGGGUUUGCCUAUCACAGAUGAACAGAUCCAGGAGAUGAAGUCCAACCUGACCAACAUCGACUUCCAGAUGGCGGCCGAGGAAGAGAAGCGUCUGAGGCACGACGUGAUGGCUCACGUGCACACGUUCGGCCACUGCUGUCCGAAAGCUGCGGGCAUCGUUCACCUCGGGGCCACCUCCUGCUACGUCGGGGACAACACGGACCUGAUUAUUCUAAGAAAUGCAUUUGACCUGCUUUUACCUAAGCUUGCUAGAGUGAUCUCGAGGCUUGCUGACUUUGCUAAGGAACGUGCUGAUCUGCCCACCUUAGGUUUCACACAUUUCCAGCCUGCUCAGCUGACCACGGUUGGGAAACGCUGCUGCCUUUGGAUUCAGGAUCUCUGCGUGGACCUCCAGAACUUGAAGCGUGUCCGUGAUGAGCUCCGCUUCCGGGGAGUGAAGGGCACCACUGGCACCCAGGCCAGCUUCCUACAGCUCUUUGAGGGGGAUCACCAGAAGGUGGAGCAGCUGGACAAGAUGGUGACAGAAAAGGCGGGGUUUAAGAGAGCUUUCAUCAUCACAGGACAGACCUAUACACGGAAAGUGGACAUUGAAGUGCUGUCAGUGCUGGCCAGCUUAGGGGCGUCCAUACACAAGAUUUGCACUGACAUACGCCUCCUGGCGAACCUGAAGGAGAUGGAGGAGCCCUUUGAGAAACAGCAGAUCGGGUCCAGUGCCAUGCCGUACAAGCGGAACCCCAUGCGCUCUGAACGGUGCUGCAGCCUGGCCCGCCACCUGAUGGCCCUUGUCAUGGACCCACUGCAGACAGCUUCGGUGCAGUGGUUUGAACGCACACUGGAUGACAGUGCCAACCGACGGAUCUGUUUGGCUGAAGCAUUUCUCACUGCAGAUACUGUAUUAAAUACCCUGCAGAACAUUUCUGAAGGAUUGGUGGUGUACCCCAAAGUAAUUGAACGGCGCAUUCGGCAAGAGCUGCCUUUCAUGGCCACAGAGAACAUCAUCAUGGCAAUGGUCAAAGCUGGGGGCAGCCGACAGGAUUGUCAUGAGAAAAUCAGAGUGCUUUCCCAGCAGGCAGCUGCCGUGGUUAAGCAGGAAGGGGGUGACAAUGACCUCAUAGAGCGCAUCCGGGCAGACGCCUACUUCAGCCCCAUCCACUCACAGUUGGAGCAUCUGUUGGACCCCUCUUCUUUCACUGGCCGGGCGCCCCAGCAGGUCCACAGAUUCCUAGAAGAGGAGGUGUAUCCCCUCCUAAAACCCUAUGGCAGUGUGAUGGAGGUGAAAGCAGAGCUAAGUCUAUAGAGCAGACGGGAAGUGAGGAAUCAUUGAGAGGUUGCUAAUUAUACUGUUGAGAAAUUAGUUCUGCAGUGCCUCAAGGAUGUACAUGGAGAGCAGGACAAUGGUGGUCCACACCUUGGAUCCCAGCACUCAGGAAGCAGAGGCAGAUGGAUCUCUGUGAGUUCAAGGCUAGCCUGGUCUACACAGAGAAAACCUUGUCUCAAAAAUAACAACAACAACAAAAAUACAUUAAAUUUUGUUGCCUAGGGUUCAUGGUAGAGAGACUUAUAUUCUUGUUUGUCUUCUGUUUUUGAGACAGAGUUUCACUAUGUAUCCCUGGCUGGCCUGGAACUCACAGAGAUCCACCUGUCUCUGUCUCCCGAGUAGUGGGAUUAAAGGUGUGCACUACCAUGCCUGGCUGUUUUCUUCAUUCUUUACAGCAACAUAAUCCAGCAGAAUAAUGUAGCUCAUCCUUGCAUGCUCUCCAGUUGUCUCAAGUCCUCAGUGUUUCCUGACUUAGAGUGAGACUGUGUCCCUAUAAACCUUUAUAAGUUAAAAAAUGAGUUCAGUUCACCUAUCAGACUUUGUUACAUGUUCAUAACACUGACAGUAGCAUUGGAUCUGAGAAGAUUGCCUACCAGAACCCCUUUAGUAAUGCAGUCAAAUGUCUAGUGUAGUUUACAGUAGAGUCCUAUGCAGACUUGGCCACACACUCAACUAGACUUUUCUGUAGUCCUGGAUUGUAAAGUAGUAAGAAAUUCCUGGUCCCCGUGAAAAUGGGUUGAAGUUGAAAGAUCACCUGGAUCCAGUGAUUCAGAAUCAUCAGACCUUGAUUAAGGUUCUUUUUGCCUGGAUAAGUACUGAAGUUUGUAGCUAAAGAGCAAAAAAGAGUGGGUGUUGUUGGGUCCCUUUAGCUCAGGUUGUGGCUAUUUCAUCUUUUGGAGAGGCUUGCUUAUCAGGGAAAUGCUCACUGGGUAAAUGGAUUACAUCAUGGCAUCGGCCAGUCUUUGAUCUUUGUUAAGUAGAUUGGUAUUGGGUUAGCCAAGCUCGUCAAAGGUUGAGUUAUGAAUUGCCCAGCUGGAAGGGGAACACUGGAUGUAGCCUUGCCUCAGGCUGCAUGUUUGGGUAUAGAUGAAAACAAAGGGCUGGAAAGUUGGCCCAGCUAGUCAGCCUGCUCUACACAGUGAGUGUCAGGCCAGGCCAGGCUACAUAGAGAAACCCUGCCUACAAGACAGACGUGAAGAUUUUAUUCAUCAGACUUUUAGUGGACAGAAACUAGGCGAAUUAACCAGCUUGGUAAUAACUGAUAUUUCAUCUAGCAAGGUAAAUGUAAACAAGUCUACCUUAAACUCAGUAAGAUCCAGAACUAAGUUUUGGGAUACAUUGUGGUAAUGGUGUCCAGAAAGGUCACCAGAUACUAAUCCAGACUCCGUGUUAUGUUCAGUCUUGGAUAUGUCCAAAGAGAAACGUCCCGCCUCUACAGACCCCAGCAUCCUGUGAGGAGUGCUGGAGUUCUGGAUUUAGUGUAGGCGGGCGUCUCCAGGCCGGCCUUGAAAUCGUGAGUUUGUGCCUCAGCUUCUAGGGCGUGGGGAUGGCAGGCGCGCACGUAUGUACACACACACACACACACACACACACACACACACACACACACACACACACGCUCAUCAGCACUUUAAAUACUAUUAGUAGAAGGAUGGUAUCGUGGUCUGUUGUCCAGCAAGAACAACUGAGGUCCGUACUCCUUGUCACCUAUCUGAGGUGGCCCACAACCCCGGCUCCUGUCCAGGAAGGAGCUGGAAGACAACCUUGUCAGGAGCGUUUGAAGGAGGGAAGUCUGGACCACUCCAUCGGUGCUCAUGAGUAUCCAGAAUCUGGAUUGCUGACUCAGCCUUGUUACUCCAGCCCCUGGGAGGCUGAGGCAGGAUGAUUGCCAUGGGACAGUUCCAGGCCAUAUAAUGUACAGAUUGAGACAGUGUUUUUAA